rnacentral:rRNA from 1 species
AACGAACGCUGGCGGCAGGCCUAACACAUGCAAGUCGAGCGCGCCCUUCGGGGUGAGCGGCGGACGGGUGGGUAACGCGUGGGAACGUGCCCUUUUCUACGGAAUAGCCUCGGGAAACUGAGAGUAAUACCGUAUACGCCCUUUGGGGGAAAGAUUUAUCGGAAAAGGAUCGGCCCGCGUUGGAUUAGGUAGUUGGUGGGGUAAUGGCCUACCAAGCCGACGAUCCAUAGCUGGUUUGAGAGGAUGAUCAGCCACACUGGGACUGAGACACGGCCCAGACUCCUACGGGAGGCAGCAGUGGGGAAUCUUAGACAAUGGGGGCAACCCUGAUCGAGCCAUGCCGCGUGAGUGAUGAAGGCCUUAGGGUUGUAAAGCUCUUUCAGCUGGGAAGAUAAUGACGGUACCAGCAGAAGAAGCCCCGGCUAACUCCGUG